rnacentral:rRNA from 1 species
UACGGGGGGGGCAAGCGUUGUUCGGAAUUACUGGGCGUAAAGGGCUCGUAGGUGGCCAACUAAGUCAGACGUGAAAUCCCUCGGCUUAACCGGGGAACUGCGUCUGAUACUGGAUGGCUUGAGUUCGGGAGAGGGAUGCGGAAUUCAGAUGGUGUGGUGGAAAUGCGUAGAUAUCUGGAGGAACACCGGUGGCGAAGGCGGCAUCCUGGACCGACACUGACACUGAGGAGCGAAAGCCAGGGGAGCAAACGGG